rfam:Candidatus Bathyarchaeota archaeon B24 scaffold768, whole genome shotgun sequence.
GCCGGGGUGGCUGAGCGGCGAGGCGGCGGGCUGCAGACCCGUUGAACAGGGGUUCAAAUCCCCUCCCCGGCU